rnacentral:rRNA from 1 species
AACGAACGCUGGCGGCAUGCCUAAUACAUGCAAGUCGAACGAGAUCUUCGGAUCUAGUGGCGCACGGGUGCGUAACGCGUGGGAAUCUGCCCUUGGGUUCGGAAUAACAUCGGGAAACUGAUGCUAAUACCGGAUGAUAUCGAAAGAUCAAAGAUUUAUCGCCCAGGGAUGAGCCCGCGUAGGAUUAGCUAGUUGGUGGGGUAAAGGCUAACCAAGGCGACGAUCCUUAGCUGGUCUGAGAGGAUGAUCAGCCACACUGGGACUGAGACACGGCCCAGACGCCUACGGGAGGCAGCAGUAGGGAAUAUCGGACAAUGGGGGCAACCCUGAUCCAGCAAUGCCGCGUGAGUGAUCAAGGCCUUAGGGUUGUAAAGCUCUUUUACCCGGGAUGAUAAUGACAGUACCGGGAGAAUAAGCCCCGGCUAACUCCGUGCCAGCCGCCGCCGUAAAAC